rnacentral:rRNA from 1 species
ACGAACGCUGGCGGCGUGCUUAACACAUGCAAGUCGAACGGAAAGGCCCUGCUUUUGUGGGGUGCUCGCGUGGCGAACGGGUGAGUAACACGUGAGUAACCUGCCCUUGACUUUGGGAUAACUUCAGGAAACUGGGGCUAAUACCGGAUAGGAGCUCCUGCUGCAUGGUGGGGGUUGGAAAGUUUCGGCGGUUGGGGAUGGACUCGCGGCUUAUCAGCUUGUUGGUGGGGUAGUGGCUUACCAAGGCUUUGACGGGUAGCCGGCCUGAGAGGGUGACCGGCCACAUUGGGACUGAGAUACGGCCCAGACUCCUACGGGAGGCAGCAGUGGGGAAUAUUGCACAAUGGGCGGAAGCCUGAUGCAGCAACGCCGCGUGCGGGAUGAAGGCCUUCGGGUUGUAAACCGCUUUCGCCUGUGACGAAGCGUGAGUGACGGUAAUGGGUAAAGAAGCACCGGCUAACUACGUG